rnacentral:rRNA from 1 species
UACAGAGGUCCCGAGCGUUGUUCGGAUUCACUGGGCGUAAAGGGUGCGUAGGUGGCGCUGUAAGUCGGGUGUGAAAUUUCGGAGCUUAACUCCGAAACUGCAUUCGAUACUGCGGUGCUUGAGGACUGGAGAGGAGACUGGAAUUCAUGGUGUAGCAGUGAAAUGCGUAGAGAUCAUGAGGAAGACCAGUGGCGAAGGCGGGUCUCUGGACAGUUCCUGACACUGAGGCACGAAGGCCAGGGGAGCAAACGGG